CGUCGCUCGGCCUCGACGGAGAGGGAAUGGGUCGGCGGCGUUGUUUGUAGGAGAGAGAAAAGGCAAAUAUGGAGAGAGAAAAAGAAAGCCACUAGCCACAUGCAAACGAGGCCAGUUGCAUUGCAUCGAGGGAAAGUGUCUCUAUUAUUUUUUCCUAAGUGGCAUGUUACAGCUACACAUGUGGACAGAUUGCACUGAGAGAGCCAGCCCUAAAGUGGCCUAUUCGGAUCUUCGUGCUCCUCUCCUUCCCUUUCUAGUUGCCAACCCGGUUACUUCCAGCUUCCCCGCUUUGACUGCCUUCCCGGCCGCCCCUUACUGUCUGCCUCCCCUCCUCUUCCACCCUCGUGGUUAAGGCCGAUAGAGAAUGAGAGCGAGAGAGGUAGGAGUAGGAAAGGACAACGUCAGUGACGCUUCUUUCGCUCCCUUUUCCACGCCUCCACCACUGCAACAUCCUCUGCGUCAUCGGCAACGGGGACGGUGGCAAUAGGGAAGCAUGCAACCUCGUGGAGGUGGAGUAAUGCCGCAUGAGCUCUAGCAGUGGCACCGCUGCCUGCGAGCGGAGACUAGGCGGUUGAUGCGACUGGCGAGCAUGGAUGCACGGAAGUAGAAGAAACUAGGGCGACCCCGCGACAAGUUCAAGUCUACCUGCAGCCUGAUAAGUAAACAAGAGAUAUAUUUGAUGGAUCGAUGGACAGUUCUCCGGUGACUCUAGGCUGUGCAAGACGAAGAAGGUAGACGGGACUGGACAAAGAUAGGAGCGUGAAGGAAGGUCAGAGGACGGGUUUGACCAGCGGGAAAGGGCUUUGAGCUCUUGGAAGGAUGUGGGUUUGGGCCUUAUGAGGGAAGGGGACAUGGAAUAUCUUAUUUUAAAAGGGGUGCACAUAUAAGAUAAUUAUAUAAGAUAAUUUCAUUCUUACCCUUGUUUCAAAUUUUAAUAUUGAUUUUACCUAUGUUUUUUAGGGUUUUCGUAUUUGCCACUAUUUUUUUUAACCGAAUGAACUAGAUGCCCUCUUUUGAUGGAAGUUAGGAGAAAUUCUAAAGGAUAAUUUUGCCCCUGUUACAACAGAGAGAGGGGAACAACUGGAGUGGCAUUUUGCAAAAUCUCAGGGCUGGGAUGCGGUUGCGGCGUCGGCGGCGGACGGGAGGCCGUCGCGGUGUCGACAGCAGGUGCUCACGUCGGCGCCGGCGGCCAGGAGGGGCUCGUGCAUCGACAGCGGGUGGGAGGCGGUCACGGCUACGGCAGCAGGCGGUCGCGGCGUCGACGGCGGCAGGGAGGGGCUUGCGCGUCGGCGGUCGCGGCUAUGGCAACCAGCACUCGCGGCGUCGGCGUCGGCGUCGGCGUCGGCGUCGGCUGGGAGGCGCUUGCGACGCUGGCGGCGACUGGGCAGGGGGGCAUCGGCUGGGAUGGCGGCAACUGGGCAGGGGAGGCGGCGGCUGGGUCGCCUUUGGCACCGGCACCAGCGCUGCCACCUUCCCUGCUCCCUUCCCAUCCCCUCACCUGCUCACUGCUAUUUUUCUGUACGACACCCCCUAUUUUUUAUGCGGGCCAUAACAACUUCUGGUAUAUGCAAAAAUCGAGAGUUAUUUUUUCAUAGGGCUGCUUAAGUAGUCUGUAUGGAAAAAUUAAUUUUCCUGUACGGGCCACUUAAGAGGGCCGCAUGCAAAAAUAAGCUCAUUUUUUGCAUGUGUUUCACUUAAGCGACCGCAUGAAAAAAUCGAUUUUUUCAUAUGGCCCACUUAAGAUGUCGUAUGCGAAAAUAAAUUUUGAAACUACUGUAUCU